UACGUAGGGGGCGAGCGUUGUCCGGAUUUAUUGGGCGUAAAGAGCGUGUAGGCGGUUCGGUAAGUCUGUCGUGAAAUCCUGAGGCUCAACCUCGGGCGUGCGAUGGAUACUGCCGGGCUAGAGUCCGGAAGAGGCGAGUGGAAUUCCUGGUGUAGCGGUGGAAUGCGCAGAUAUCAGGAGGAACACCGAUAGCGAAGGCAGCUCGCUGGGACGGUACUGACGCUGAGGCGCGAAAGCGUGGGGAGCGAACAGG
rnacentral:rRNA from 1 species